rnacentral:tRNA from 1 species
GUGGCUAUAGCGCAGCUGGUUAGCGCGUCUGGUUGUGGCCCAGAAGGUCGUGGGUUCAAAUCCCACUAGCCACC